rnacentral:RNase_P_RNA from 1 species
UACGGCGGCGGGACAGUUCGCAAGAACUGCCUGAGGAAAGUCCGGGCUUCACAGAGGCAUGGCAACUGCUAACGGCAGCCGGGGGUGACCCCAGGGAUAGUGCAACAGAAAGAAACCGCCGCGCCCUGGCGCGGUAAGGAUGGAAAGGCGAGGUAAGAGCUCACCAGCGCACUGGCGACUUUGCGGCUAUGUAAACCCUGCUUGAAGCAACAUCCGUAUGGGACAUGAUGCGGAGCCUCGCGCGUCCCGGUGAUGGCGUGAGCCUUGCGGCGACGCAAGGCCAAGAUAGAUCGUCGUUUGAUACAGAACCCGGCUUACGGUCCAGUC